GGUCCUAGCCAAGUGGCUACCGCAACAGAAUCAAAAUCUGUUUCUCUUCAAAGUGUGCAGGUUCGAAACCUGCCGAAUCA